GUUAAUGUGGCAGAGACUGGUAAUUGCAAAAGACCUAAGCCCUUUCACCCAGAGGUUCAACUCCUCUCUUUAACU
rnacentral:tRNA from 1 species